AGGCACAGUGAGGGUCUGGCUGCAGAAUAUUUUGCCAGGAGUGGCUGUGAUUCCAUGAGCAGAAUAUGAGCCGUGUAUUCCACUCAUUUUUUUGUGUUCUUAAUAUAGCAAAAAGCAGAGCAUCUGGAGUCGCUGUAGAGGAGGGAUGCAGGGUGAACCUGGACAUCGAUGGCUGCCUGUCUGGAGAAUGCUACUUCAUUAAUCUGUAAUUACUUCUGUUAACCCUCUAGGACAGGACCCUUGCCAUUUUCUUCCACAGACGUGGGGCAGUGAUGUGUGGUGGCAGUAGGUUAAACUCUUGUAUCUACUACCCCAAGCUGUAGGUGGUAUCCAGUGGCACGGACAGAGUUUUCAGGUACUCAUUGCUAUUCUCUGGGAUCCUGUGGCCAAGAGAAGGUGGCAGGUGCUGACACCUUCUUCUCUGGGUUACAGCUGCUUUUGGUAUUGGUUCUCUUGUCUGGCAUAUGGAUGUAGCUGUCACUUCUGUUUCUGCAGGGCAGUCUGGAUCCUGGGGACCUCCUCCGUUAACUGGACGAUUCUGCAUGCCUUACCCUGGAGACACCCCGCCCCCAUGGACUAUUAGGCACGUCCACCUCCUGAACCUUAGUGGCCCUGAGGCCACCCGGAACCCCUCCACCUGCAACACUUGGCUAUUUUGUAUGCAAGAGUCCUGGUCCUUUCCCAGGAUUGCCUUGCAGGCUGUACCCCAUGGACCACCCUUCACCACCAGUCAUGGGCUAUAGGCCACAUCCCCCUCCUCCACCUACUCUAUUUGUUAAGAUGACCUGAACUGGACGAGUGGCUGGUAAAGUAUAUUCAUCUUCUUCAUGAUUGACUUUGUGGCAAUGAUGUAGAGACAGUUGUGAGUCUUGGCAAUCCAACUACAAACUGCCUGAGGACACUGUAGCAUGUCUCAAGUUUCUCAGGACAUACAUACAAUGGGCAGUGUCAUGUCCCUGUAAUACAGUGAGCUAUACGUUUCUCUUGUCAAAUGAAAGAGGAUUUUUUACACAAAAGCAGAUG
rnacentral:lncRNA from 1 species